CAGCCGUAAACUAUGCGCGUUAGGUGUAUCGGUGACCACGAGUCACCGAGGUGCCGAAGGGAAACCGUGAAACGUGCCGCCUGGGAAGUACGGCCGCAAGGCUGAAACUUAAAGGAAUUGGCGGGGGAGCACAACAACGGGUGGAGCCUGCGGUUUAAUUGGACUCAACGCCGGACAACUCACCGGGGGACGACAGCAAUAUGUAGGCCAGGCUGAAGACCUUGCCUGAAUCGCUGAGAGGAGGUGCAUGGCGUAGACGUCU
rnacentral:rRNA from 1 species